GACGAACGCUGGCGGCGUGCUUAACACAUGCAAGUCGAACGGAACUUAUCGGAUCAAGACUUCGGUCAAGUGAAUUUAAGUUUAGUGGCGGACGGGUGAGUAACGCGUGAGGAACCUGCCUUUCAGAGGGGGACAACAGUUGGAAACGACUGCUAAUACCGCAUAACGCAUAUUGAUCGCAUGGUCGAUAUGCCAAAGAUUUAUCGCUGAAAGAUGGCCUCGCGUCUGAUUAGCUAGUUGGUGAGGUAACGGCCCACCAAGGCGACGAUCAGUAGCCGGACUGAGAGGUUGACCGGCCACAUUGGGACUGAGAUACGGCCCAG
rnacentral:rRNA from 1 species